UCAUCGAUUACGUUUGAACGAUCGAUCGCGCGACGAUAUUCCCCACAGUACCUCAACAAUAAUCAUCGCAUGUUUGUUGGAAAAGUGUACUGGAAAAUUACUUGCAACGCAUAAGCUUCCCAUAAUAAACCGUGAAAUAUGACUGAUCAACAAAAAUCAGCUAUGAGAGAAGUGGUGCUUGAAAUGAGUGAUACGAAUGGAGAACCAAUUCGUCCCAAGUUACAGAAUAUAACGCCAGUCGUAGAAGAGCACCGGAUCGAUAUAGAGUCAGAAUUACCAGACGACGACAAGUCCACACAAACUAAGAGGAAAAUGACAGAUUAUGCAAAUCUUGUUGAACGCACACGAAAUGUAUUUCUUAGUGGUAAAACAAGACCACUAGAAUGGAGAUUAAAACAAUUAAAACAAGCACAACUUAUGAUAAAAGAAUGCGAACAAGAAAUUGCAUCUGCUCUUGCUAGUGAUCUGCACAAAUCUAAAUUUGAAUCUCUUACAACAGAAGUAAUAUUUACAGAAGGAGAAAUCAAAGAUUUGCUUACACAUCUCAAGGAAUGGUCAGCUGAUGAAAAACCUCCAAAGGCAAUAGUCAACAUAUUGGACAAGGUUGAAAUUAAAAAAGAUCCGUUUGGUGUGGUUCUUGUUAUAGGACCAUGGAAUUAUCCUUUCCAGCUAUGUGUAGUUCCUUUAAUGGGUGCAAUAGCUGCUGGUAACUGUGUUAUUCUUAAACCAUCAGAAAUAUCCUCUGCCACAUCAAAAGUUCUUGCAAAAAUUAUUCCAAAAUAUUUAGAUCAAGAAUGUAUUCAUGUAGUGCUAGGAGGUGUUCCUGAAACAACAGAACUACUUAAACACAGAUUCGAUUACAUCUUUUAUACAGGUUCAACUACAGUUGGAAAAAUUAUUCGCAAUGCGGCGAAUAAAUUCUUAACGCCAGUGACAUUAGAACUAGGUGGUAAAAGCCCUGUAUAUAUAGAUAAUACGGCGAAUUUAGAAGUAAGCGUGAAAAGAAUACUUUGGGGCAAGUGUGUUAAUGGUGGACAAACAUGUAUUGCACCUGAUUACGUACUGUGUACUGAGGAAAUUCAAAAUAAAUUCAUAAAAAAGGCAAAGGAGGUUCUCAAAGAAUGGUAUGGUGAUAAUCCCAAAGAAAGUCCAGAUUUAACACGUAUAAUUAACGAACAACAUUAUAAACGUCUCGUAAAAUACUUAAAUAAUGGCAAAAUAGCACUUGGAGGUGAUUGUGAUUCUAAUGAAAAAUAUAUCUCGCCAACUAUACUCGUUGAUGUCAAGCCUACGGAUCCUGUCAUGCAAGAUGAAAUAUUCGGUCCAAUAUUACCAUUUGUAAACAUAAAUAACGCUUACGAAGCAAUUAACUUCAUAAAUAGUCGAGAAACCCCACUCGUACUAUAUAUUUUUUCCAAGGACAGGAAAGUUCAAGAUUUAUUAAUAACUCAAACUCGUAGUGGAAAUGUAGGAGUAAAUGACACGAUAAUGCAAUAUUGUGGGAGAAGCCAUUAUCAUUAUACAUAUUUAGUACUGAAGAGAAGACUGUAUCGAUAUUUCUUGAAAAUACAAGCAGCGGUAGUGUUUGUGUUAAUGAUGUAAUAAUGCAUGUCACAGUUGACACUUUACCGUUUGGUGGUGUUGGUAAUUCUGGUAUGGGAGCCUACCAUGGAAGAUAUACAUAUGAUACUUUCGUGCACAAAAAAGGCUGCCUUAUUAAAAAUUUUAAUAAGUUAGGAGAAACAUUGGCAUCAUGCCGUUAUCCGCCAUAUUCCGACAAGAAGUUGACUUUCAUAGAAUUUUUAUUGGCAAAACGGCCUGAUAUACCGGGAAUUAAAUACGUUCCACAUCUUUUAGCAUUCGGUUUGGGAAUUCUUGUCACAUAUGGUAUUUCAACUGCUUUAAAGGUUCAAGAAGAAAAUUAUUAAUGGACUUCUCACAAUACUGUUACAAAAACUUGUUAUCAAUUACAAAUUUCAGAACGUUAUUUACGUAUAAUUUUUACCUAUUCGUAUUCUAAAUUCGUACGUGUUUGCAACGAGUAAGAGAACUUUUAAAUAUUAAAAUAAAAAUCAAAUACAUUUCUGCAAAAAUUUAGCUUUAGAGCUUAUAUACUUACACACGUAUAAAAUUUUAAUAAUCGCUAUUUUAAUAUUAUUAAUACUGUACAAGUUACUAGAAGAUAAAUUAGCACAAAAGUUGUUCUUAAAAAAAUCGUGUUUUUAUGACAUAAUUCUUUCUUAAAUAUUUUAUAGAUAACUUGAGCUUCCACAAUAACACAUUGUAUUUUUUAAAGAUUACAGUAAGAUUUAUCAGUAUAUAAAUUUGCCAUAGUGUAUAUAGAAUGUAUAAUGUGCAAAAAUGUUGCCAUAAUGUUAAAUAAAUAUAUAAAAA